rnacentral:rRNA from 1 species
UACGUAGGGGGCGAGCGUUGUCCGGAAUCAUUGGGCGUAAAGCGCGUGUAGGCGGCCCGGUAAGUCCGCUGUGAAAGUCCAGGGCUCAACCCUGGGAUGCCGGUGGAUACUGUCGGGCUCGAGUCCGGAAGAGGCGAGUGGAAUUCCCGGUGUAGCGGUGAAAUGCGCAGAUAUCAGGAGGAACACCAAUUGCGAAGGCAGCUCGCUGGGACGUAACUGACGCUGAGACGCGAAAGCGUGGGGAGCGAACAGG